GGGUAUAACUCAGUGGUAGAGUGCAUGCUUAGCAUGCAUGAGGUCCUGGGUUCAAUCCCUACGUCCA
rnacentral:tRNA from 1 species